rnacentral:rRNA from 1 species
UACGGAGGGGGGCUAGCGUUGUUCGGAAUUACUGGGCGUAAAGCGCACGUAGGCGGCUUUGUAAGUUAGAGGUGAAAGCCCAGGGCUUAACCCUGGAAUUGCCUUUAAGACUGCAUCGCUAGAAUCGUGGAGAGGUGAGUGGAAUUCCGAGUGUAGAGGUGAAGUUCGUAGAUAUUCGGAAGAACACCAGUGGCGAAGGCGACUCACUGGACACGUAUUGACGCUGAGGUGCGAAAGCGUGGGGAGCAAACAGG